UUUUGAAAUUUAGAAUCAUCCCUAAAAUUUUUCAGAACAUUGUGCAUUGCCGGAACACCUUGAAACGCGUUCUAGCAGUUGAGAGUUCAUUUAAAAAAAUAAGCACAAUGCAAGCACUUGACUGGCCGUAUCUCAUCAUUCUCGUUGCCAUCGUUGGAGUCAUCUCUUGGAUCGGCUAUAGAUGUUACAUGGGAGGCCAUCAAAAACCUCUACCUCCCGUAACUGGUCAAAUGUACAGAAAUGCAUAAGCUGCAGUAACACUUGUUGGCUUAGGAUAACUGAUAAUUCGAAAUGUCUCCGUAUAUAUGUUUUUUAACCAACUUACACUUUUUUCUUUUAGCAAAAAAUUAAAUUGUAGCAACCAUAAUCAUUGGUGUGUUUUCAUAUCAAAAUUACUGUCAGUUUGCAAUAAAAUAAAAUUGAAUU
ensembl:lincRNA linc-115 ncRNA